rnacentral:rRNA from 1 species
GGUCAAAGUAAUAAGAGUCUAUGGUGAAUGCCUAGGAGCUUUAAGGCGAAGAAGGUCGUGGUAAGCUGCGAAAAGCUUGGGGGAGAAGCAAACAUUUAUUGAUCCCAAGAUUACCGAAUGGAGUAAUCCAGCUAGCAAGAUGCUAGCUAUCUAUUAUUUAAAUAAUAGAGC